rnacentral:rRNA from 1 species
CCUACGGGAGGCAGCAGUGGGGGAUAUUGCACAAUGGGGGGAACCCUGAUGCAGCGACGCCGCGUGGGUGAAGAAGCGCCUCGGCGCGUAAAGCCCUGUCAGCAGGGAGGAAAAUGACGGUACCUGAAGAAGAAGCCACGGCUCACUACGUUCCAGCAGCCGCGGUAAUACGAGGGGGGCAAGCGUUAUACGGAUUUACUGGGUGUAAAGGGGGCGGAGGCGGCGAUGCAAGCCAGGAGGGAAAGCCCGGGGCCCAACCCCGGGACUGCUCGUGGAACUGCGGGGCUGGAGUGCAGGAGGGGCAGGCGGAAUGUCUGGUGUAGCGGUGAAAUGCGUAGAGAUCAGGAGGAACACCGGUGGCGAAGGCGGCCUGCUGGACUGCAACUGACGUUGAGGCCCGAAAGCGUGGGGAGCAAACAGGAUUAGAUACCCGGGUAGUC